AGUGAACGCUGGCGGCAGGCCUAAUACAUGCAAGUCGAACGGCAGCACAGUAAGAGCUCGCCCUUACGGGUGGCGAGUGGCGGACGGGUGAGGCAUACAUCGCAAUCUACUUUUUCGUGGGGGACAACGUAGGGAAACUUACGCUAAUACCGCAUACGACCUACGGGUGAAAGCAGGGGAUCUUCGGACCUUGCGCGAUACAUUGAGCCGGUGUCGGAUUAGCUAGUUGGCGGGGUAAAGGCCCACCAAGGCGACGAUCCGUAGCUGGUCUGAGAGGAUGAUCAGCCACACUGGAACUGAGACACGGUCCAGACUCCUACGGGAGGCAGCAGUAGGGAAUAUUGGGCAAUGGGCGCAAGCCUGACCCAGCAAUACCGCGUGGGUGAAGAAGGCCUUCGGGUUGUAAAGCCCUUUUGUUGGGAAAGAAAAGCAGCAGGUUAAUCCCCCGCUGUUCUGACGGUACCCAAAGAAUAAGCACCGGCUAACUUCGUG
rnacentral:rRNA from 1 species